GAUGAAGAACGUAGCGAAAUGCGAUACGUAAUGUGAAUUGCAGAAUUCAGUGAAUCAUCGAAUCUUUGAACGCAUAUUGCGCUCUCUGGUAUUCCGGAGAGCAUGCUUGUUUGAGUAUCAGUAAACACCUCAACUCCCUUUUCUUUUUUGAAAUUGGAGCUGGACUUGAGUGAUCCCAACGCUUUCUUCCAAGAAAGUGGCGGGUUGCUUGAAAUGCAGGUGCAGCUGAACUUUUCUCUGAGCUAUAAGCAUAUCUAUUUAGUCUGCCUAAAAAACAGAUUAUUACCUUUGCUGCAGCUAACAUGAAGGAGACUAGUUCUUGUGCUGACUGAUGCAGGAUUCACAGAGACAGCUUCGGCUGACUUUGUAAACUCGAUCUCAAAUCAAGUAAGACUACCCGCUGAACUUAAGCAUAUCAAUAAGCGGAGGA
rnacentral:misc_RNA from 1 species